AAUUGAUAAAAGUAGACAAGAAGUUGGAUUUAGUUCUGUAACAUUUUUGUGAUUUUAUUUUUAUAGGUUGGAAGUGCGACAGGAAGAAAAGUUUCAUCUCUGAAAACACAGGUUUGCAAUAAUAUAUUUUAUCUUUAAAUCAUAAUUGAGGUAUAGGCAAUUAAGUAUUUAGUCUGUCCAAAAGCUCAGUUUCUAUAUCACUGUCACAAUUCAUAAACUAUUGACAUUUCUUGGUGUCUGUCAUCUCUGAACUUGUUGAAAAUUCUCAUUUGAAACCACAGAAAGUUACAGAUAAGGUAAAUGGUGGGGUCUAAAUUGAAAUUGUUUUAAUUUUUCAUCCUUUGCCAAAAUGUAGUUUAAAUUAUACUUUCUUUAAUAAUACAUGCAUAAGAAAGAUUUUGGGUAUCAGGGCUUUUUUCAAGCCAUUGAUUACUCAGAAUUGCCCGACUUUAUAUACAUCAUACAUGAAAAAAACCCAAAAACAUGAACAUUUUGUGUCAAAGGAAGAGAACAAGACGAUAGAAUUAAAAAAAAAAAAAAAAAACACUCUUAUAAUGUGAUUUCUGAAAAUAAGAUAAAAAAGGAGUUCACAGAACUCGUGUUCCUGCUACAAAACAAUACAGGUAAAUAUCUAACACAUACCUCCACAAAAGUUACAUGAUCUGAGUUAUCUCCCCUUAUGUGACAUUGUUGAAAAAAACUGAAUCAUUCAAAAAAUAUUCUGUAUUUGCUAAAACAGUUUAAAAUAAGAAAACACAUAUAAUUUUCUUAUUUAGAUGAAAGGUCUUAAGGAAUCAUCUACCCUCAAAAUUACAAGAAUUUCUAAAUAGACCAAUGGUAUUUUGCUAUAUAACAAUCCAAUACAGCAGAAGACACCCAAUCUACCUUAAUCCUGCCUGAGUUUUCCUUUAAAUGUAUAAUUUAUUAAAGAAGGAGGUGUGAUAAGAGCUAUAUUUUUUAUUGCUUCUAAAUUUUCAAAAGGGAAAGUUCCUUAAUCUUUUAAAAAAUCUUGGUGGUUCUAUAUAUAUAUAUUGAUUUUAUAAAUUGUUAGUUUUGUGUCACUGUGAACAUGUUGAAAUUGUCAGAAUUGACCAUAAAUAUCCAUUUUGCACAAAUUGAAAAAAACUAGUUCUACUGGCCCAUAGCCAUACCCAACAAAUAUAAGCAAAUAAAUAUUUUAGGUCAAUGGAAUUUGCCUGACAGCACUUAAAGUUACCCUUUGGAUCAAAAGGUUGUGUAUCGCUAUGCUACGAGAAUGUUUUCUAUAGAUUAUUCCAAAAGUAAACCAAAGACAUGCAUAGUAAGGGAAAUCUGUGUUAUUUUGGGACUUUUAUAGCCGAAUAUUUCCGUACAAUGCAUAUUGUUGCUUACAUCCACUUCAUUUGAACUAGUUGUCUCAUUGGCAAUUAUACCACAUCUCACCUUAGUGACCUCUCAGUAAUUUUGUAUCAGUAUUAAUUUGAUAUUAGAAGAAAAAAAUAGAAUUUAAAGGUUUUAUGCUAAUAAAUCUGCUAAAAGUAAAACUUUUGGAAGUUUGAAAUAUAGAAAAAAAGUCUGACACAAAUAUGAAAAGAAGGAUGUUAGAACUUAGAACCACGUCCUAUCAUUUAAGGAAGUUUGUUCACCUCUAAAUGUCUUGGGUUUUUUUGCCAUUGGGUUGUUUUCUUAUUGUAUCUCUUUUUUUAUUCAAAUGUACAUUCUAAUUAUAGAAGGUGUGGUUAAUAUGGUCUGUGUAACUGGAAAAUGAUGUCAAACUAUAUAUAAACCAGAACUAUAAUUAAAUUACAACUGAUUUAAUUGUUUGUACGAAAAAUUGGAAACAUUUUAAGAAAUGCAGAUUUAUUUUCAGCAUUCAGACUUUUGAAAUUGAAAUUGAAAUUCUGGUUAAUUUUGGCAUAAAAUUACAACUAAAAAGAUAGUGAUUUCAUUAAAUUAUGCUGACAAGUGAAAUCUUUAAUUGAUCUUAAAGCUAGAUUGAUUUAAAGUAUAUUUUUUUCUUAAGAAAUUCUACUUUUAAAAUUUGCACUCUAGAAUCACCUAGUCAACUGUAAAAACAGCUGAUUAAGGUAAACAUUGGAAUAAAGUCAAAAGAAAAAUCCCUAAUUCUAUAUUCAAACUGUAAAAAACAAAGAAAAUCCAAGUCAUACUUGAGCUUGAUCCAAAAAUUUUACGUAAAAAUGAUUACAUUCCUCAAAUUUAGAAAUAAGUUCCCCUAAUGCAAAGCUUCAAGAUUUUUUAUUACGAGAGGGGAAAAAAGACUAGGCCAAGAGAAAAAAUGGAAUAUAAUUGAAAAUUCCACAGACAAUUGGAUAAUUUGGCAAUUUGCAUUAUUUUAAGGGCAAUUUAAUAGCAUAUCAAUCAUUGUUUCAGAUCUUAAAUGUAUUUACUUUUUCAAAAUUUUAUAUUACUUAACUAAUUUCAAUAAAUUUAGAAAAUGAAAAGAAUACAAAUUCUAAUUUUGCUUAGCCUGCAGGACAAAUUCCUGUAGGUCUUCGUGAUGAAAUUCUUUAACCUAAUAUGAUAAAUCUUUAAAGUGGAUUAUCAGCUUAGACCAUAUUAAACAAAUUCUUUGGUCAAUCUUGAACAAAAGUCUCAGCCAAGUGUUGUGUAAACAAAUGAAUGUGGAUUAAAAAGAGGCACACGGUCAUUUCAACUUUUUAAUGUGCAGGGUUGGACUUUCGAUAAUCCAGAUUAAAAAGUGGACCACACGCAUGUCUUAAAAGGAUGCAUUCUUUUCUUUUAUUAUUAACUGGUGCAAAGUUUGAAUUUAUUAUUAGAUCUAUGCUGCAAUAAGAUAAACUAAAUCAUACAUGUAAGAAGGGUCAUAACCUGUGUCACAUGAUAUUUCAUUGGUUUCUUGUAAUUUCAUGCGACUUUUCGAGAAAUUUGUUCAGAAAAUGGUUUUCUUUUUUAGAGCAGUAACAGAUUUUGUGGAAUGAAUGAAGAAAAAGAACUCAGACUUUAACAGAGAUAUAGGUGUGUAAUAAAUGUAUUUAGAGACUUAUAAGUUACUAAGGUGCAAAUCAUUUUAUAAAUAUUUAAACAGAACUUUGUUUUUAGUUACGGUAGGAGUGCAAUUUCAAAGCAGAGCAUGCAUACCUAUAUCUAUAAUUGG
rnacentral:lncRNA from 1 species